GGGAGUAGGAGGGCUGCUGACAGUGUACGACACUGAGGAAAGUCCCCUCUCCACCAUGCAGGCGCCCCGAUUCACUUCGGGAGCCCGGAAGGGCUGGCUCUGCUUCAGAAACGAACCAGUGCAGUCGUGUACGAUGAAUCCGCAAGGAGGAGAUUGUCUGUUGCUGGCUGAGACGAGCAACCGCGCCGGAGCAAGUCCAAACAGUUCCGCUGACCAGCAUGAGCGAGGAACGGGUAGGAUGCUAAGUUGAAUGCAGCCAACUGAAAGGUCAACAGAAAGGGGCUUACUCCCUACUCCC
rnacentral:RNase_P_RNA from 1 species